CUACGGGUCGCAGCAGUGGGGAAUAUUGCACAAUGGGCGCAAGCCUGAUGCAGCCAUGCCGCGUGUAUGAAGAAGGCCUUCGGGUUGUAAAGUACUUUCAGCGGGGAGGAAGGGAGUAAAGUUAAUACCUUUGCUCAUUGACGUUACCCGCAGAAGAAGCACCGGCUAACUCCGUGCCAGCAGCCGCGGUAAUACGGAGGGUGCAAGCGGUAAUCGGAAUUACUGGGCGUAAAGCGCACGCAGGCGGUUUGUUAAGUCAGAUGUGAAAUCCCCGGGCUCAACCUGGGAACUGCAUCUGGUACUGGCAAGCUUGAGUCUCGUAGAGGGGGGUAGAAUUCCAGGUGUAGCGGUGACAUGCGUAGAGAUCUGGAGGAAUACCGGUGGCGAAGGCGGCCCCCUGGACGAAGACUGACGCUCAGGUGCGAAAGCGUGGGGAGCAAACAGGAUUAGAUACCCGGGUAGUC
rnacentral:rRNA from 1 species